AGCAGCCGCGGUAAUUCCAGCUCCAAUAGCGUAUAUUAAAGUUGUUGCAGUUAAAAAGCUCGUAGUUGAAUUUCGGGAUCAGUAUGUUGGUCGUGCUUCGGUACGUACUGUCAUUAUUGGUUUCUCCCUUCUGAAGAACCUUGAUGUCAUUAAUUUGGUGUCUUGGGGAAUCAGGACUGUUACUUUGAAAAAUUAGAGUGUUUAAAGCAGGCAUACGCUUGAAUACAUUAGCAUGGAAUAAUGAAAUAGGACGUUUGAUUCUAUUUUGUUGGUUUCUAGGAUCGACGUAAUGAUUAAUAGGGAUAGUUGGGGGCAUUAGUAUUCAAUUGUCAGAGGUGAAAUUCUUGGAUUUAUUGAAGACUAACUACUGCGAAAGCAUUUGCCAAGGAUGUUUUCAUUAAUCAAGAACGAAAGUUAGGGGAUCGAAGACGAUCAGAUACCGUCGUAGUC
rnacentral:rRNA from 1 species